GCGGCAGUAGCUCAGUGGUAGAGCCCCGCUUCGCAUGCGAGGAGACCUGGGUUCAAUUCCCGGCUGCUUCC
rfam:Toxocara canis scaffold540, whole genome shotgun sequence.